AGGAAAAGACUUUGUCCAGCUUCACGAAAGGCAGCAAAGGAUUGUCAGAGAAAGAGAACUCAGAGUGAGGGGUAAGGAACCGAGGCCAGGGGAGGACGGAGGUUGGAGUCCCGGACUCCUGGGUCCGAGGGAGGAGGGGCUGGGAACCUGGAAUCCUGGGCCAGAUGACGGAGGGACAAUGGGCCAGGAUUCCUGAGUCCCUGGGAGUGUUGAUGGAACUACAGCAGGUCACGGGCCUGCUCUCUGCCGUCGCUGACAUCUCCUCCCUGUCCGGUCCUGCAGGUCUGGCCUAGGCCCAGGAUCGGACCAGGCCCCCUCAGGACCCCAUCCCUUCCUGCCCGGACUGUGAAUUCAUCUCCUCGAAGCCAUAACGUCCGAGCUGCGUGGUGCGGGGCUGCCUGGGCCCACCCAUCCUUCUACCCUGCGAGGCGCGAGGGUGGGAGGCAGGCGGGCCCAGCUCCCUGUUUCAGGGUUGGGGGGGGCAUUCAGUCUCCACUGUGUCUGUCUUCCCUUCCCCAGGGGUCCUCUUCCAGGCAAGGGGCCAUGCAUGUCUGGGGGACCCCAGCCCCCCAAACCCUUCGUCUUUCUGUCUGUCUCUUUGCUGUUUGUCCAAGACUUGGUGUCCUGACCCUUGUUCUUGCUGUGAAUGUCAACAGACCGAUCCUCCGUAUUCCCCCAGACACACACACACACACACCUGUGUCUACUCUUUCUGUUCAACACACCCUGCGUCUGGCCGAUCCCCCCACUGCUGCUGCUACCAACACCGGAAUAAACACACACCGUGGGUCUCACUCCA
rnacentral:lncRNA from 1 species